CUGAUGUCUUGAUGGAAUGAGAUGGAAUGUUCUGGUUUAUGGUCAAUGGAAGGUGGAUAUCUGGUAUUUCCAUCAAUGAAACCCCACUGAAGCCCACCUGGACCCUCACUGAUGAAAGUCCCAGUGUGUUUCUGAACAGAGGCUAUGAGAGUGAGAAAAAGCAUUGGAAACCAGAGACACAGAUCUUUUCAACUUUACUAAAUAGGUCACUUUGGAACUUGGACUCGAUUCAGAUUAUUUGCUCAAAAGGUCGGACACGUACCUCCAGAUAGAGCGAGGAGCUGGAGCCGUGGCUCAUGCGCUGAGCGAGGCCGUCUCUCUGGAGAAUGCAUUCCUCCAGGUGGAUGACGUUGGGAUGCUGGCUCUGGAUGCUGCUGAGGGCCCAG